GUUUAUAUAAAACAUAUAUGUCGGUGACAAAAAUAUUGAAAGAAAGGAAGAAGUUUUACUCAAAAAUUAGAGGUACGGCGCUAGACCGAGAAACAUACCUUUUUACUGAUAGUAAAGGAGUUGGAUUACAAGAAUUCACACCAAAUUCCGUUAAAGGAAAUUUCAAAGUAAUAUACAAAAGAGGGGCAACCAUAGAAAAUAAACAUCAUAUUGGAGACCUACUUCAAAAACUAAAAUCGUCAUCAUCAGAUAACCCAAUAGUUUACAUAUGGUUAGGCACUUGUGAAAUUACAAGGAAAGUAAAUAGAAUAAUAGAAACAAGAAAAUACCCAUACCAAAGCAUAGAAUUCUUUCUGACCAAAUACAGAGAAGUAAAAAAACAAAUUCAAGAUUUAAAACCAGGCAGCACAGUAUUGUUUAUAGACUGUCCAUAUUAUUCUAUAACUAGAG
rnacentral:lncRNA from 1 species